GGAUUGUGGCUCAGUGGUAGAACGCCCUCCUAGCACGAGCUGGACCCGGGUUCGAUCCUCAGCACCA
rnacentral:tRNA from 1 species